GACAGAGGGUGCAAACGUUGUUCGGAAUUACUGGGCGUAAAGCGAGUGUAGGCGGUUCGAUAAGUCGGAUGUGAAAGCCCCGGGCUCAACCCGGGAAGUGCACUCGAUACUGUCGAGCUAGAGUAUCGGAGAGGUUGGUGGAAUUCUCGGUGUAGAGGUGAAAUUCGUAGAUAUCGGGAGGAACACCUGUGGCGAAGGCGGCCGACUGGACGAUAACUGACGCUGAGACGCGAAAGCGUGGGUAGCAAACAGG
rnacentral:rRNA from 1 species